rnacentral:rRNA from 1 species
AUUGAACGCUGGCGGCAUGCCUUACACAUGCAAGUCGAACGGCAGCACGGGAGCAAUCCUGGUGGCGAGUGGCGAACGGGUGAGUAAAGUAUCGGAACGUGCCCAGUCGUGGGGGAUAACGUAGCGAAAGUUACGCUAAUACCGCAUACGAUCUAUGGAUGAAAGCGGGGGAUCGCAAGACCUCGCGCGAUUGGAGCGGCAGAUAUCAGAUUAGGUAGUUGGUGGGGUAAAGGCUCACCAAGCCGACGAUCUGUAGCUGGUCUGAGAGGACGACCAGCCACACUGGGACUGAGACACGGCCCAGACUCCUACGGGAGGCAGCAGUGGGGAAUUUUGGACAAUGGGCGAAAGCCUGAUCCAGCCAUGCCGCGUUCAGGAUGAAGGCCUUCGGGUUGUAAACUGCUUUUGUACGGAACGAAAAGGUUUGGGCUAAUAAGCUGAGCUCAUGACGGUACCGUAAGAAUAAGCACCGGCUAACUACGUGCCAGCAGCCGCAGUAA